rnacentral:rRNA from 1 species
UUUCCUACGGGAGGCAGCAGUGGGGAAUAUUGCACAAUGGGGGAAACCCUGAUGCAGCGACGCCGCGUGAGUGAAGAAGUAUUUCGGUAUGUAAAGCUCUAUCAGCAGGGGAGAAAAUGACGGUACCUGACUAAGAAGCCCCGGCUAACUACGUGCCAGCAGCCGUGGUAAUACGUAGGGGGCAAGCGUUAUCCGGAUUUACUGGGUGUAAAGGGAGCGUAGACGGCAGAGCAAGUCUGCAGUGAAAGCCCGCGGCCCAACUGCGGGUCUGCUUUGGAAACUG